rnacentral:rRNA from 1 species
GACGAACGCUGGCGGCGUGCUUAACACAUGCAAGUCGAGCGGUAAGGCCCUUCGGGUACACGAGCGGCGAACGGGUGAGUAACACGUGGGUGACCUGCCCUUAGCUCCUGGGAUAAGCCUGGGAAACUGGGUCUAAAUACCGGAUAUGACCUCAUGACGCAUGUUGUGGGGUGGAAAGCCCUGUGCGGCUAGGGAUGGGCCCCGCGGCCCUAUCAGCUUGUUGGUGGGGUGAUGGCCCACCAAGGCGACGACGGGUAGCCGGCCUGAGAGGGCGACCGGCC